GCAUACAAAGGCAAACCAAUCGUGAGGUUGGGACGCAAAGCCAUGGGUCUUCUCUUUUGGAAAGAAUGCCAGGUUGCCACCU
rnacentral:ncRNA from 1 species